AAAAAAAAAAAAAAAAAAGAAUGUUGUAAAGAUACGAGGUCGGUGAUUGUAGGCCGCCGAGGCAAUCAAGAGGCAAUCCAAUUGGCUGAUAAAAGAAAAAGUACUCCCUUUGUUGAUUCAUUUUUUCUCCUUUUUUUCUUUUCUGGGUGGGAAUAAACCCAUUGGUUUCUUUAGAUUCUUUGAAAAUUCAAAAGCAAUGGCCACUAGAAUCCAUGAUAACUAAAUUAUUGAAAUUGACAAUCUAUCCCAGUGAGAGAGGAUCGGUAUCUGGUCCUGAGGCAUCUCCAAUAUGGUACUCAACAAUCAGCAUCUCCCUUAUAUCUGAAUGGAAAUAUAGCAUGACUCUCUGGAUUCCACACAUUUUAUGGUUUAUAUCUAUAUUAUAACAAGCAGCUCAAUUGGCUUUGCUUCGGUUCAUUCUCUGAUUCCAGAUUGCACUUUCAGAAAAGUUUAAUCAAUAUGGUGAUAAAUUCAUAUGCAUAUGAAAUGAUGAUGUUAUGUGCCAUCUUAACCAAAGCAAAAGGCUUUUGUAUGACAGACGCAGCAUUGGCUAACAAAUAUCAAUGAAGAGUUAGAUUGCAAUUUCCAUCUUCGAGCUGCUAUGCUCAUUGUAUCAAAAGAAUGGCUACUCCAGCAUGCCAAACGAAGAACUUUACCAAGGCUUCUAGUCAUCAUUUCCGCCCUACCUAAUACUCUUUUCUAAAGGCUAUAAUAGAAUUCUUGUAAAUCAAGUUGAACUCGACAAUUUCAAAGAUAUCGCAGAUGGUGAGUUUCUUUCUUUAUA